rnacentral:tRNA from 1 species
GAGGUUGUGGCUCAAUGGUUGAGUACUUACCUCGCAUGCAUGAGGCACUGGUUCAAUCCUCAGUACCACUUUA